GAUUAAUAUAGGUAAGGAGUAAUGCUUGCAGACUGCCCAGGGCCCGAGAGAGUACCUGAGAGCAGGCGUUGCUAUGGUCAGCAGGCUUUAGAGCCUGAUGCACAAAUCAAACCCAUCGUAGGAACUGGAUUUGAAGGUUUCUUUGGAAAAGGAAAGGCUAUUUGGGGAGUACUAAAAGUUACAAAACAAACAACCAACAACCCGGGAACUGACUGGGAAACAUUUUGAAGCCAGAACUCUAUAUUUUGUAGUUAAAUAAGGAGUGUAUCUUCUGCCACUGCAUUGUGUGGGUCAGUGUGGCAGUGGUGCAAAAUGUCACAGGGUUGAGUCCCACGUCCCGAAGACUUCUCCUCUCCCUCACAUAGUCCUGUUACUCAAGCCUCCCUCUACCCCUGAAUUAUACUUGUUCUACGUAGGCCUUACACUUACUGUGUUCUCAGCAUUCAUUCAGCCGGGCAGACUUUCUGAGAAUAUGAUAGGUUCUAGAUGCUGCUCCCAGAAGGCAGGAGUGUGAAGGGGAGGGUAUCUUAUUGAUAACCAGGAUCUGUACGAGAUAGAUUAUAUCCAAUUAAUCUUUUGUAAAGCUUGCAUUUCCUCCAAGUUGUAAGAUCUUUCUCGGGUAGAAGAAAAUCACGGCUGCACUCAGGGUGGUGGCUGGACAUCUGGCACUGGGGCUUUAUCCAUUCCAAGUCUUCGGGACAUCUUCACAUUCCCAAUGCUCUCCUUAGGACAAUUGAAAGAACGGAUGCAAAUAAUUGCUGGGUUUUCAGGCCGUGGAGACAGGAGGCCGUCGAAAGUGAAACUGAAUGACAAAUGGCUUCACUCUGAAGCAACUAGGAUCAACAACUCAGAUCUGGAUGGUGACCUGUAGUUUACAAUCCCAUCAGAAGAGUUGAGCUGGUCCUUUAAGGAGGCUGGCCAGAAAAUUGAAAAGAAGUCCAGAUGAUCACAGGACCUGGCUGCCAUAGAGUGCCAUAUUGAUGGAAAUGGCCUGUGCCUCCGCUUGAGGCCAUGAGAAAGCGCAUGCCCGAUGCUCCUACUGAACACAAAGAGCAAGGAAGCUACUUUGGCAGUGAUAUCAGUGACUGCAGUUGAGAAAGAGGACAUAGAAGAGUUCUGUGACUACCCCACCCCAAAAUAACACCCUAAAAUGAAAGUCAUCGGAGAGAACCCUUCAAAAUUGUGAUAAAGAUGCUAAAUGGUAGCUUUCCACCAUUGAUGGCAUCUGGGAGGGACUGAGGUGGAGAAGGACUCAGUUUUCUUUAGGAUGCUGACCCCAGGGAGUUUGAUCAUUCUCCAAUGUGAGACAGAAGAGGGCCACUUAUUCAUUGGUAGGCUUGGAGAUCAAAGCCAAGGCUUCAAAAACACUAAGGAAGUGCCAUCUACCAGAAAACCACAUCCCCAGCCCUGAAACAUUUAUUUGGAAACUUGGAUGAUACUUCUUAGGAAAACCCUUGGCUAAAGACGGAAUGAAGAUUUAAACAAAUAAGAAGAAACUGAGUCACAGCUGACGUGCUUCAUUGAUUAGGAUUGGACAUCUAACAAGGCUAUCACUCAGAGCACCGGGAUCCUAGUGUGGGUUUUCACAGUUCAUCUCAGAAUGGAUUUGGGGUAUGAAGAACGUGAUCACAGUUCCUAUUCAAGGUUCUCCUUUAACCUAAAAACCAUCCUAGCUGAAGAUCAAAAGAAAGAUUGGCAUUGAAUGAAGUACUGACUUAUACAGGACACCAAAAACACCAGAUCAGGUAACCAGGAAUGUUUCCUAUCUUGAUUCCCUGUCACAUACCUCACCUUUAAGUUUAAUUAUUAUCCCUCCUGAGAGUCAUCUGAGAGAAAUCUUGUUUGAGGAAUUGACUGGAUUGGAUUGACUUACAGGAAGAUUUAUGGAGAAUUGCCUUGAUUAUUAAUUGAUGUAGGAUGGCCCAGUCUACUGUGGGUGACACUAUCCCUAGGCUCGUAGACCUGGGUUCAAGAAAAAAAGCUAUGUAAGCAUAAGCCUGUAGCAAACCAGAGAGUGAGGCAACCAGGAGUAUUCCUCCAUGGUUCCUGUUUUCUGG
rnacentral:sRNA from 1 species